UAAAGAAGUUAUGAAUUUUUAAAGAAAUUCCUUAAUCACGUCAUUUUAUAAAUAAAUAAUAAAAAUAAUUUCGGAAUUGGCCAACGGAGUCUAAACGAAAGUUGUAGAGCGUAGUCUCACCUACGCGUGGAUAUAAAGACCAUCAAAAAUGGAGUUCGUAUGAAGAAGAUAUGAUUUUUUUAAGUUUAUUAAAUAAUUUAUAUAUAAAAUUAAAUCAAAAUCCUAGUAAUAUCCGAAGGAGGAGUCAGCGUCCUUAUCCGGGUUACGCGCUGCGUAGCCUCGUACGCCCCGCAUACCCGGAGGCCUUGGUCUCGGUCCGUCCACGUCGCCCCUAUUCGAACCUACCCGAUCCAUCCCAUCCGAGCUCCGGGGCAGUCGAGGACUCGCUCAUGCAUGACGCACGGGUACGCGCUGCGUACGCCCCGCAUACCCGGAGGCCUUGGUCUCGGUCCGUCCACGUCGCCCCUAUUCGAACCUACCCGAUCCAUCCCAUCCGAGCUCCGGGGCAGUCGAGGACUCGCUCAUGCAUGACGCACGGGUACGCGCUGCGUACGCCCCGCAUACCGAGGCCUCUCAGCCCCUAUAAAUAGAGGUGCG
rnacentral:lncRNA from 1 species